rnacentral:lncRNA from 1 species
ACCAAUCUGAAGUGCAGCCAAGACCGGGAGCCACAGACCUGGAACCUGGGUACUCAAAGAGUUGUCCACGUGCCAGCAGCACUGGCCCCUCCAGGAGCUUGUUAGAAAUGUAGAACCUCAGAGCCUACAUUAAAGAUAUUGAAUCGGAGUCUGCACGUCACAUCUGAGAAGCCAUGAGCUAAGCUGAUGCCAUUCAGCUGGGUAGCAUCGCAGUCACUGUGCAACUUUUAAACCUACAGCUGCCCAGGCCCACUGCAGACCUGCUAAAUUCGAGCUCCUUGUAGUGGGGCCAGGGCCCUGGGACUUCACACAAAACUCUGCAAGUCAUCACUGAUGAGAAAACCAAGACUCGAUGAGGUAAAGCAACUUCCCCCACCACGAAACCUAGUCCUGUGUGAGGGAGCCAGGGGUAUUUACAUUUUCCUAAUUUACAUCCUUUUAAACUGCAUUUUUCAGAGUCUCCUGAGCUCGGGGGAAGAAGCUGCAUAACCGGCACACUUCCAGAAAGGACCGAGGAAGAGAGCGUCGCUUCAGCUAGGGAUCUGAUUAGUCAUGCCUGGAGCUAAAGGAGUGGAGCUGGGGAUGCAAAUGUUUCUGUUUAGACAGCUGAAGUGGCCAUGCGAGCCCACAGCGAGAGCUGCAGGAGCAGCUACUACAGGGAGUGGGCAGAUUUUAGGAUGUGCAGCUUUGUACUUGGUGUGGCUCGGUUGUACAUUCAGGAAUCUCUUUCCUUGUGAUACAUGGAGCUGCACGUGGAAGAUGUUAGGAAAACAGCUGGGUGCAGUUUUGCUGGUUAGUUCUGAACAAACCUAAAGAUGUGAGAUUUGAACUCUAUAAGGGAAGAAAGUGAGGAGGAAGAAGGCACUGAGGCUGCCUGUCACCAGGAGGGUUCUGGGCAAAACAGGGUAGAGUGACUUGGGACAGUUCCUCUUAACGAUAGCACAGGCAGUAGGGGUUGAGACACAGUGGGGUUGAGACUUGCUUAAAUGUACAGUUAUUCAGUCAACCAUUUUCAUAGAAUAAUUGUGGGUUGUGUGGGUUGUCUUGAGCUGCCGAGUUCACAUGUUCUGCAGUGGAGCACUAUAUGCUAAUGUGAGAUGUGAGUACACCCAGAUUUCACCUGCCCUAGAA